UACGAAGGACCCGAGCGUUAUCCGGAUUUAUUGGGUUUAAAGGGUGCGUAGGCGGAUUAAUAAGUCAGUGGUGAAAGCCCGUCGCUUAACGGCGGAACUGCCAUUGAUACUGUUAGUCUUGAGUAUGGUUGAGGUGGGCGGAAUGUGUCAUGUAGCGGUGAAAUGCUUAGAUAUGACCCAGAACACCAAUUGCGAAGGCAGCUCGCUAAGCCAUAACUGACGCUGAUGCACGAAAGCGUGGGGAGCAAACAGGAUUAGAUACCCGUGUAGUCC
rnacentral:rRNA from 1 species